GUAAUCUUCAAACCAUCCUGCAAAGUGGAUGUUAUCACCAUUUUACACAGGAGAAAACAGAGUCUCGGAGAAAACAAGGACCUUGUUCAAGACUACACAGUCAGAAAGCGGUGGAGGCGGGGCUCAAACUCAGUCCUGGAAAUCCCCAGCCAGCCCAGAAGCGCUUUCAAGGCAAGCAGCUUACUUUGGCCUCACAGCAUGACAGAGACUCAGGAGAUAGUGCUGCAUCAGCCAUGUCCUUUGGAGUGACCCCAUUUUGUCAGCCGUCCGCCCUGGGCCGAUGCGUCAGACCGAGAGGAGAACGGAGGUCGGGCCCUGGGGAGCCAGCGCUGGGGAAACAUGAACGCUGUGUUUAAAGGGGAGAAGGCACCCGGGAAGCACAGUGGUCCCCAAUCCGCGGCUUCACUUUCUGCGCUUUCCGGUACCGUGGUCAACGGCAGUCUCAAAAUAUUGAACGGAAAAUUUCAGAAAUAAACAAUUCAUAAGUUUUAAAUUGUGCACCUUUCCAAGUAGCAUGAUGAAACCUCGUGCCGUGCCACUCCGUCUGUCCGGGACGUGGGUUGUCCCUUUAUCCAGUGGAUCCACACUGUACACCUGCCUGCCUGUCAGUCGUU
ensembl:lncRNA